rnacentral:rRNA from 1 species
UUAGCGGCGGACGGGUGAGUAACACGUGGAUAACCUACCUAUAAGACUGGGAUAACUUCGGGAAACCGGAGCUAAUACCGGAUAAUAUUUUGAACCGCAUGGUUCAAAAGUGAAAGACGGUCUUGCUGUCACUUAUAGAUGGAUCCGCGCUGCAUUAGCUAGUUGGUAAGGUAACGGCUUACCAAGGCAACGAUGCAUAGCCGACCUGAGAGGGUGAUCGGCCACACUGGAACUGAGACACGGUCCAGACUCCUACGGGAGGCAGCAGUAGGGAAUCUUCCGCAAUGGGCGAAAGCCUGACGGAGCAACGCCGCGUGAGUGAUGAAGGUCUUCGGAUCGUAAAACUCUGUUAUUAGGGAAGAACAUAUGUGUAAGUAACUGUGCACAUCUUGACGGUACCUAAUCAGAAAGCCACGGCUAACUACGUGCCAGCAGCCGCGGUAAUACGUAGGUGGCAAGCGUUAUCCGGAAUUAUUGGGCGUAAAGCGCGCGUAGGCGGUUUUUUAAGUCUGAUGUGAAAGCCCACGGCUCAACCGUGGAGGGUCAUUGGAAACUGGAAAACUUGAGUGCAGAAGAGGAAAGUGGAAUUCCAUGUGUAGCGGUGAAAUGCGCAGAGAUAUGGAGGAACACCAGUGGCGAAGGCGACUUUCUGGUCUGUAACUGACGCUGAUGUGCGAAAGCGUGGGGAUCAAACAGGAUUAGAUACCCUGGUAGUCCACGCCGUAAACGAUGAGUGCUAAGUGUUAGGGGGUUUCCGCCCCUUAGUGCUGCAGCUAACGCAUUAAGCACUCCGCCUGGGGAGUA